GACGAACGCUGGCGGCGUGCUUAACACAUGCAAGUCGAACGGAAAGGCCCUGCUUUUGUGGGGUGCUCGAGUGGCGAACGGGUGAGUAACACGUGAGUAACCUGCCCUUGACUUUGGGAUAACUUCAGGAAACUGGGGCUAAUACCGGAUAGGAGCUCCUGCUGCAUGGUGGGGGUUGGAAAGUUUCGGCGGUUGGGGAUGGACUCGCGGCUUAUCAGCUUGUUGGUGGGGUAGUGGCUUACCAAGGCUUUGACGGGUAGCCGGCCUGAGAGGGUGACCGGCCACAUUGGGACUGAGAUACGGCCCAGACUCCUACGGGAGGCAGCAGUGGGGAAUAUUGCACAAUGGGCGGAAGCCUGAUGCAGCAACGCCGCGUGCGGGAUGACCGCCUUCGGGUUGUAAACCGCUUUCGCCUGUGACGAAGCGUGAGUGACGGUAAUGGGUAAAGAAGCACCGGCUAACUAUGUG
rnacentral:rRNA from 1 species